UACGUAGGGUGCGAGCGUUAAUCGGAAUUACUGGCGUAAAGCGUGCGCAGGCGGUUCGUUGUGUCGGCGGUGAAAGCCCCGGGCUCAACCUGGGAAUGGCCGUUGAAACUGGCGAACUGGAGUGUGGCAGAGGGGGGUGGGAUUCCGCGUGUAGCAGUGAAAUGCGUAGAGAUGCGGAGGAACACCGAUGGCGAAGGCAGCCCCCUGGGCUGACACUGACGCUCAGGCACGAAAGCGUGGGAGCAAACAGG
rnacentral:rRNA from 1 species